rnacentral:rRNA from 1 species
AGUGAACGCUGGCUGUAGGCCUAACACAUGCAAGUCGAACGGCAGCACAGUAAGAGCUUGCUCUUACGGGUGGCGAGUGGCGGACGGGUGCGGAAUACAUCGGAAUCUACUUUUUCGUGGGGGAUAACGUAGGGAAACUUACGCUAAUACCGCAUACGACCUACGGGUGAAAGCAGGGGAUCUUCGGACCUUGCGCGAUUGAAUGAGCCGAUGUCGGAUUAGCUAGUUGGCGGGGUAAAGGCCCACCAAGGCGACGAUCCGUAGCUGGUCUGAGAGGAUGAUCAGCCACACUGGAACUGAGACACGGUCCAGACUCCUACGGGAGGCAGCAGUGGGGAAUAUUGGACAAUGGGCGCAAGCCUGAUCCAGCCAUACCGCGUGGGUGAAGAAGGCCUUCGGGUUGUGAAGCCCUUUUGUUGGGAAAGAAAAGCAGCAGGUUAAUACCCCGCUGUUCUGACGGUACCCAAAGAAUAAGCACCGGCUAACUUCGUG